GGAGCAGCUGGUCCCGUCGCUCCGGACGGAUUUCCGCCCGGGGAGGAAAGUCCGGGCAGCACAGGGUGCCGCACUGUUGAAAAACAGGUACCUGCGAAGGUACGGCAGCAAAGAAGAAAAGAACCGCCCCGGUGAAAACCGGGGUAAGGGUGAGAAGGUGGGGUAAGCGCCCACCAGUGCGGUGGGUGACCAUCGCAGCUGUUUGCCCUGCGGGCUGAAAGGCCAUGUAUACCGGCGUAAAAAAAGUGACCCGCUUCUGCCGGGGGGUAGGCCGAUCAGAUCAAUGACGGGGGUCCCGGUGAAACGGGAUACAGAACCUGGCUUAUACAGCUGCUCUUUUU
rnacentral:RNase_P_RNA from 1 species